AGCGAACGCUGGCGGCAUGCCUAACACAUGCAAGUCGCACGGGGGGGCUUCGGCCUCCCAGUGGCGGACGGGUGAGGAACGCGUAGGGACCUGUCGAGGGGUGGGGGCUAACCGCGGGAAACUGCGGCUAAUACCGCAUGACGCCGCGGCGUGACAGCCGGGGCCAAAGGCGAAAGCCGCCCGCCGAGGGGCCUGCGUCCGAUUAGCUGGUUGGCGGGGUAGCGGCUCACCAAGGCGUCGAUCGGUAGCUGGUCUGAGAGGGUGAUCAGCCACACCGGGACUGAGACACGGCCCGGACUCCUACGGGAGGCAGCAGUGGGGAAUAUUGGACAAUGGGCGCAAGCCUGAUCCAGCAAUGCCGCGUGGGUGAAGAAGGUCUUCGGAUUGUAAAGCCCUUUUGGCGGGGACGAUGGUGACGGUACCCGCAGAAGAAGCCCCGGCUAACUUCGUG
rnacentral:rRNA from 1 species